CCAUGGAGACCGGCUGCAGGUGUUGUCCAUGCAUGUUACCUCCUCCUCCACCUCCUCCUUUUCCACCACCCAGAGACCUGAUCUUCACAGCGUCGCCCUCUGUUGUUCCAGCCAUAAGGUGGAAGUGGGCGGAGCUUCUGUUCCUGAUGCUGGUUGUCUCUGCCUCCUGCAUCAUCAUGGUGACGAUCUUCAGCAUCUGCUUUAAAGUGAAGAUGAGGAAAUCACUGAGGAAAGAAGAGAACAGCACCAGCUGAGGGGCAAAGCAUCAACACCA